CGAAUAGCCCAGGGAAAUGUACCAGGGGUUACAGCUAAAUCUUAUCAAGAAGACAACAAGUUAUGGAAAAAGCAUGUUAAUUCUUACAAAAGAAUUAAUCAAUUAAUUGGCACUACUAGAUAUCGGAAUUUGAUGGACAUGAAUGCAGGCCUUGGAGGAUUUGCAGCUGCACUUGAUUCACCAAAGUCUUGGGUGAUGAAUGUUGUUCCCACAAUUGCUGAGAACACUUUGGGUGUUGUCUACGAGAGAGGUUUGAUUGGCAUUUAUCAUGACUG
rnacentral:lncRNA from 1 species